GUGGGGAAUUUUGGACAAUGGGCGAAAGCCUGAUCCAGCCAUGCCGCGUGCAGGAUGAAGGCCUUCGGGUUGUAAACUGCUUUUGUACGGAACGAAAAGACUCCUUCUAAUAAAGGGGGUCCAUGACGGUACCGUAAGAAUAAGCACCGGCUAACUACGUGCCAGCAGCCGCGGUAAUACGUAGGGUGCAAGCGUUAAUCGGAAUUACUGGGCGUAAAGCGUGCGCAGGCGGUUAUAUAAGACAGAUGUGAAAUCCCCGGGCUCAACCUGGGAACUGCAUUUGUGACGGUAUAGCUAGAGUACGGUAGAGGGGGAUGGAAUUCCGCGUGUAGCAGUGAAAUGCGUAGAUAUGCGGAGGAACACCGAUGGCGAAGGCAAUCCCCUGGACCUGUACUGACGCUCAUGCACGAAAGCGUGGGGAGCAAACAGGAUUAGAAACCCUGGUAGUCC
rnacentral:rRNA from 1 species